rnacentral:rRNA from 1 species
GAUGAACGCUGGCGGCGUGCCUAAUACAUGCCAGUCGAGCGAACAGAUGAGGAGCUUGCUCGUCUGACGUUAGCGGCGGACGGGUGAGUAACACGUGUAUAACCUACCUAUAAGACUGGGAUAACUUCGGGAAACCGGAGCUAAUACCGGAUAAUAUAUUGAACCGCAUGGUUUAAUAGUUAAAGACGGUUUUGCUGUCACUUAUAGAUGGAUCCGCGCCGCAUUAGCUAGUUGGUAAGGUAACGGCUUACCAAGGCAACGAUGCGUAGCCGACCUGAGAGGGUGAUCGGCCACACUGGAACUGAGACACGGUCCAGACUCCUACGGGAGGCAGCAGUAGGGAAUCUUCCGCAAUGGGCGAAAGCCUAACGCAGCAACGCCGCGUGAGUGAUGAAGGUCUUCGGAUCGUAAAACUCUGUUAUUAGGGAAGAACAGAUGUGUACGUAACAAUGCACGUCUUGACGGUACCUAAUCAGAAAGCCACGGCUAACUACGUG